CGGGGUUCUCGUGCCAGUCACAAGCAUUUCUUAUACUCCAAAACUGCCACCGGGCUCUAUUUUCUUCUCCACGGAGAGGUCAGCGCUGGCUCUCGUGCACUGGCACACAUUGCUUUUGUGUAAAAAGGGCAACAGGUGGCAAUGCUCGCCCCAAGGUCACAGGGAAAUACGUCUGCUGGUCACGUAGGUGGCCAGCAAACAUAAAACCCCGUUCGCGUUCUCAUCUCACCUAUGUGACAGGCAGCAGGUACUGUGCUAGGUGGAGUUGCGGCUCUCAUAAUAUGAGGAUUUGCUGACAGAAUUUCAAAAAACACACAUUUGGGGAAGAUGUUUUUUUUAGCUUUUAUUCGCUUGAAGUGAACACAGAGAAUAAGGACCCGGGGACAUUAGUGUGCAGUGCUGACAACAUUAGGGAAAAAAAAAGAAAAGCGAGAUUAAAAUAGACUUGCAGCUGAAAUUGUUCGUGGUUGAAACAUAUGAUUCGGCACAAAUCAUUGAGGAAUGCAGCAGAAAGCAGCUUGGCCUGACUUAGUUGUGAUGAACUGAAAACUACCUAAUCAGCACAGAUAGGGCAGCUUUUGCUCACUCGUUUUUGUGCUUGUGUUACCAACGGCACACCUACCAGGUUAAACAGGGCUCUUUUUACUAAAAGCAGCGUGUGUUGGCUAGGUGCCAGCACUCCCUCGAGCUAACCCCCAGACUUCCCAGCGCAUCUCAGCUGUGGUAAAAAGCUCUGCAUCCUACUGCUUCUCCUCUGGGACCUGACAUUAAAAAACUGCAAAUGUGCUCUUUCACGUUACAAGAGUGCAUAUGCAAACUUCCCUCUGCCCUCUCUGCAUAAUGCACCUCAACGGGCAUUAUCAUACGGAGUGUGGGCACAGCUCCACGCUGCCUUCAGCUGCAGCGCCCACCCUGCACAGCCUCACGCUGUGCACAUCCUUCGAGCUGGAGCGGAAAGGAGAGCAAUGUCACACCGCCUGCAUCCUCUGCAAGUCCCUCCAACCGAGCACAGGCUUGUCUUGAUCUGUCAGUGGGAACUGCUGAAGCCAAAAGGUAACUUUUUUUUAACAUUUUAAAAACGUGAGUUCAUUCGUUUUCAUUCAGUUUACUCGAUAUUCUCUUUUUUUCUGUUCAAAGGCUUGGAGAAUGCAACUUCCUCCCCACUCUUAUCUAAGCACAGAAGAAAAUCUUUUCAAAAC
rnacentral:lncRNA from 1 species